rnacentral:rRNA from 1 species
GCCGAGCGGUAGAAGAUCUUCGGAUCUUUGAGAGCGGCGUACGGGUGCGGAACACGUGUGCAACCUACCUUUAUCAGGGGGAUAGCCUUUCGAAAGGAAGAUUAAUACCCCAUAAUAUAUUGACUGGCAUCAGUCGAUAUUGAAAACUCCGGUGGAUAGAGAUGGGCACGCGCAAGAUUAGAUAGUUGGUAGGGUAACGGCCUACCAAGUCAGUGAUCUUUAGGGGGCCUGAGAGGGUGAUCCCCCACACUGGUACUGAGACACGGACCAGACUCCUACGGGAGGCAGCAGUGAGGAAUAUUGGACAAUGGGUGAGAGCCUGAUCCAGCCAUCCCGCGUGAAGGACGACGGCCCUAUGGGUUGUAAACUUCUUUUGUAUAGGGAUAAACCUACUCUCGUGAGAGUAGCUGAAGGUACUAUACGAAUAAGCACCGGCUAACUCCGUGCCAGCAGCCGCGGUAAUACGGAGGGUGCAAGCGUUAUCCGGAUUUAUUGGGUUUAAAGGGUCCGUAGGCGGAUCUGUAAGUCAGUGGUGAAAUCUCAUAGCUUAACUAUGAAACUGCCAUUGAUACUGCAGGUCUUGAGUAAAGUAGAAGUGGCUGGAAUAAGUAGUGUAGCGGUGAAAUGCAUAGAUAUUACUUAGAACACCAAUUGCGAAGGCAGGUCACUAUGUUUUAACUGACGCUGAUGG